UUAGGCUCGGUUCAAAUAUGGGCCUAAAAUUUUAAGCUCAAUCCACCCCAUAUUUGAUAAAAAAAAAUAGGUUGGCCCAAUGGGUCAGGCCCAUUUUGAUAGGUAUAGCUUCGACAAUAACUCCAUCGCACCCCGCUGAGUAGCGUUGAACAUUGCUUGACGCACUGAACUUUGAUAAAAUUGUGCAACAUUAGAAGCAGCUAUCGUCUUAGACAUCAAAAGCAGAAGCUCAUGGGCAUAGAUUGUAACACCUUGUAACCCCAUAUAGUCGUCGACAUAACCGUAUCGAUAAGACGAAGGGACAAAGUGAGAUAUUUUAGGUCUCUACGAGAUAAGUGGAGAAUUUUAAAAUAAAAUAAUAUUUUAUGAAUAAAAUAAUAUUAAAAUAUUAAUAUUUUAUAUGUUAUUGGAAUUAGUCAUGUAAGAGGAUUAUGUGACUAAUCUAAGUGGGGAAGAAGAAAUAAGAAGAAAUUUUGAAGAAAAGCGAUGUUAGUUGUGCCUGCGUGUUUUUAUUAAAUCGAGUUAGUGCGGGUAAGUAAAUAUUUAAAUAUUAUAGUGAUACCGCGUUGAAGUGCAACUUCGAUAUUUUGAUUGUACACGUGUAGAGGAAGAAAGAUAGAUAGAAAUUGAAAUUUAAAACGUGUCGAAAGGGUCAAAUUGUAAGAAAGGAAAGUUUGAGGAUUUAUAUAUAAAUUUUAAUAUUUGAAGAGAAUAAAAUAAAAUAAAUAAUAGAAUAAUAAGAAAAUAAAAAGAAUAGGGAGGUGGCGGAUGGGAACGAAGAAAAGUCAAGUAAGAAGUAAAAUAAGAUAAAGAUGAGAGAAAAAGAUAAGUAAGAAAAUAAAAAAAAAGUUAAAAGGUGAUAAAAUGGGCAACCGCCCAUGUGGAAAUAAGAGAGUCAUAUAUUGUUUUAUUUUUUAAGUUAUGGGAGGUAGGGUCCGACCAAGUGGAAAAUGCAAGAGAGAGAGAGAAAAAAAAGGGAGAGUGAGAGCUUGGUUUUUGUGCCGAUUAAGGGAUAUAGAGAGGGGGCUUUGAGCUACUGGUUUGAGUGAGUGAAAGAGGAUUUUGGUUUAAGUUUUCAAAAGGGGAAAUUCAGUUUCUGAGUCACCAGUUGGGAGAAACAGAGAAGAGAGGAAGCCAUUUAUGGAGAGAAGAAGAAAGGGAACGACAGUUGGAGAAAGGAAGAACGGAAAAGAGAAGGGAGAGCAAUGAGAGCAUAAAGGGUGGAAGAAAGAAAGAAAAAAAAAGUAAAGAGAAAAGACAAAAGAAAAACAUGGAAAGGUGAAUGAUUUUAGCAAUCCAUUAUGUGAGAGAAAAACAAGGAAGAAAAAAAAUGCAAAGGUAAAGGAAGUGAGCGGUGGGGGAAUGACGAACGAAAUAACGAGUAAUUGAAAAGUAGAAAUAGCGACAUAAUAUCUCAUUAUUGUGAGGUGAGUAGGGGUGUCUAUUUUAAAAUUUUCAUAAUUAUACAUCUAUAUUUAUGCAUGGUUUACCUUACACGCAAAAUUUUGGAUAGCAUGAUGUCACGACCCGGUACUCCCCUCGAGCACGUGACAACAGUCACGGUACCCCAAUAGACACUCAUUUUCUAGAAUGCCAAUCGAGACCCCGCAAGGCUUAAUAUCAGUAUCUCAAUUCUCUCGUGAGUAACCGUUGCCGAAAAUCAUGUUUUAGAAGAUUUUAAGCUAUUUCCAACUCAAAACAAAUGAAAUAAUAAUUUUCGUCUCACAGGGAUAUUUUAGUCAUUUUUCCCCAAAAAUUUUGAAAUCGGCUAAAAUGUAAUAUACGAGUACAAAAUAUAUAAUUCAUAAUCAAAAGUGAGUUUUAAAGUCUAAAAUCUUCAUUUAAAACGAAAUUUCAAUUAUUUGGAUAUAAAAAAAUAAAAGAAAUGUUAAGUAAAAUAUUAUAUUUUCUUAUAAAACAAUAUUUAUAGAGUUAUACGUAAAUAAUUUUUGCAGCAUAAAAGCUAAAUAAAUUCAUACAUAUUGUAAUACAGUAAGUCAGAGUAUGUAAUUUAAUUUAUAAUAACAAGAGGGCCCCCGAAUAAACAAAAGUAAAGAAGAUUGUGAACCUACAAUUUGGAAAAUGCAGAUCUAAUGGUAGUCCUCGAUGAGAUCAGUUAUCUACAGUCUAUACUGAACCUGAAAUAGAUGGAAAGGAGGGUGAUGAGAUUAUAAAAUCUCAAUGAGUAAACAGACAUCAUCAUCAACAUCUAAAGUUGAGUACAUGGAGACAAUAAAGUAAAUCAUCAUAAACUGGGUCACAGUAUUAGAACACAUUUCAUUCAAAAUACGUAAAGAUGCUUAUGAAUCUCAUAAAAACUAAGCUUGUGCCAUAAAUCCAUUCUCAGGGACACAUUGGCCGAGGCAUCCUACCAAAAUCGCCAAGGCUGUUAAAAAUUCACAUUUCGCAUAAAUCAUGUUUUUAUUUUAAAAACAUAGUCGUUCCUUGGCGUUGGUUGAGUUCCUCCUCACGUGGUGGUUUGACGUGAAGUGAACCCUAAGCUUUACCCCAGGAGAUACCUUACGCGCCUCUCCGUUUGAGUUAAGAAUAUAAUGGGGUUUACUAUGCCCCUCUAAGAGGCUGGUCCACAGAAAUCCCCAACUGUAGUGAUUAAUUAAUAUAUAAUCCACCAUAUAAUAAAAUUUUGAUGACAUGACAGGGCUAAUGAAAUACUACCCAGCCUACAAGGGUAAAAUGAAACAAUUCAUACAAUCAUAAAACACAGCGCAACCAGUCAUGCCAACACAAUAACAAUAUAACAUAAGUCAUCAAUUUAAACAAUCAAAUUGUCACAAUUAACAGUCUCCGUGUACUCUAUUUUUUUCAAAAUCAUUAUUAGUUUCAAAACAAUUUAUAAUUUAAUUUCAUUGGAACACCUUUAUUCAUAAAACAUGAAAAUUUACCUUUUAAAUCCAUUUUUCCAUAGAAUUCACGAAAUCAUCUAAAAACCACCCUAGAUAAUUAAAAUGACAUUAAGUUUACUCACAAUGUCUAAAAUGCAGACUUUUGAAGUACUCUGUCUACUGGUCCUCGGAUGCAAUUUCCUUGCCUUUAUCAGAGGACUCACCACCUUGACACAAUACAAAAUUGAGAAAUUCACCACAUUGAUACUAAAUUGAAAUUAAACUAAUUUAGGCUACUAAUGCAUGAUAUGGAAUGCAAAAAUGUCCGAAUAGCCGUUUAAAUACGGUAUUUGAUCUAAUUCGCACUAUUCUCGGUCUAAUCGGCUAAAAUCUUCAAUUUAACUCCAAAUCGAUUCUUUUCACUUUCUACACUCCAAUUAUACCUAAAUUACCUCAGUGAAUGUGAAUGAGAUUCAAUUUAUCGGUCCCGGGUCAAUAAUUACACAUGUCUUUAUGUUGAGCAAAAAUUCGUAUUUUCACACUAAAAUUUUCCAUUUAAUUUCUAGCCUCACCAAACAUCAAAUAUCACCAAAAUAUCAUGAAAUAUCAUCAAAUUCAGCCGCAAUAUUCUCCCUAGGAAAUUCGGCCAAUGAUGGUAAUGGGGAAAAAUGAAUUUUUUUCUUGUUGUUUUGUUUCUAAAUAUGCUAAACUAACUUAAAACACUAACAUAACUUAAAAUCAAAUCAAUCUAACUUCAUUCUCUCUCCAUAUCCAUUUGGGCAGCCAUGAAUUCACCAUGAAAACAUGAAAUCUAACCAUGGAAAAUAAGGAGAAAAGCAUGGGAAAGAUAGAUCACAAGUCAAAAUCAAGAAAUUUUACCUUUGAUUGCUUGAUUCCUUGAAAUCCCACACUUUUUCUUUAAUUUUCCCACCUAGGUUUCUUGUUUUUCUUUUCCUCUCUUUGUUCUUGCUAUGGCCAGC
rnacentral:lncRNA from 1 species